rnacentral:lncRNA from 13 species
AUGCACACAUGUACAUACCCACACAUAUGCACACACACGCGCCCACACAUCAUGUGCAUACACAUGCACACAUAUACCCACAUACCUACGCAUGCACACGUGAGGGGGCCAGACACGUGUACACACAUGCACAUGCACACACAUACAUACCCACACAUCCACACAUGCAUGCACACACAAGCACAUACACACACGUACACACCCACACAUCCACACAUGUACAUGCAUACCCGCACAUACACAUGCACACUCACCCACAAGCACCCGCACAUACAUACCCACGCAUCCACACAUGUGCGUGCACACACACACAAAGUGCGUGCACACACAUACCCACACACACAGCCAUACACCCUCACACACAACCACAUGCACACACGUACACACAUACCCACACAUCCACACACAUGCACACACACACAAGCACAUGUAUACAGACCCACACAUCCACACGUGCACACACACAAGUACAUGCACAUCCACACACACACGAGGACGUUCACACAUGUACACACAUACCCAGUCUACACACAAGCAUUUGCACACAUGUACACACAUCCACACAUGCACACUCAUAUGCUUAUGGACACGUACACACACUGCCCCACAUCCACACACAUGCACACUCACACACAAGCACAUGCACACACACAUACCCACACAUGUACACACACACAAGCUAAUGCACACAUGUACACAUCCACACAUGUACAUACACAAGCACAUGCACACACACGUGUACAUAGCCACACAUCCACAAGCACACACACACAAGCACAUGCACAUAUGUACACACAUUACCCCACACACACUCACAAACAAGCACAGGCACACAUGCACACACACUGCCACAAAUGCACCCUCACACACACAAUGCAUUCACACAGUACACACACAGACAUCCACUCACACAAGCAUAUGCACAAAUGUACAUAUACUCACACAUGUACACACACAGGCACACACAUCACAAUGACACAUUGGCUCACACGUGUGCACUCACACAUAACACAUCCUCUUUCACACAUGCACAGAGAUUCACUCUCCAACAUUUGA